rnacentral:rRNA from 1 species
CACGUAGGGCGCAAGCGUUGUCCGGAAUUAUUGGGCGUAAAGAGCUCGUAGGUGGUUUGCUGCGUCCGCUGUGAAAACCCAAGGCUUAACCUUGGGCUUGCAGUGGAUACGGGCAGACUAGAGGUAGGUAGGGGAGAAUGGAAUUCCCGGUGUAGCGGUGAAAUGCGCAGAUAUCGGGAGGAACACCGGUGGCGAAGGCGGCGCUCUGGAACAUUUCUGGCGCUGAGGCUCGAAAGCGUGGGGAGCAAACAGG